rnacentral:rRNA from 1 species
CUACGGGGGGCUGCAGUGAGGAAUAUUGCACAAUGGGGGGAACCCUGAUGCAGCAACGCCGCGUGGAGGAUGACGCAUUUCGGUGUGUAAACUCCUUUUAUAUGUCAAGAAAAUGACGGUAGCAUAUGAAUAAGCACCGGCUAACUCCAUGCCAGCAGCCGCGGUAAUACGGAGGGUGCAAGCGUUACUCGGAAUCACUGGGCGUAAAGGACGCGUAGGCGGGUUGGAAAGUCAGGUGUGAAAUCCUACAGCUUAACUGUAGAACUGCACCUGAAACUUAUAAUCUAGAGUAUGGGAGGGGGAGAUGGAAUUAGUGGUGUAGGGGUAAAAUCCGUAGAUAUCACUAGGAAUACCUAAAGCGAAGGCGAUCUCCUGGAACAUUACUGACGCUAAGGCGUGAAAGCGUGGGGAGCAAACAGGAUUAGAUACCCGAGUAGUC